GUAGGGAAUCUUGCGCAAUGGGCGAAAGCCUGACGCAGCCAUGCCGCGUGAAUGAUGAAGGUCUUAGGAUUGUAAAAUUCUUUCACCGGGGACGAUAAUGACGGUACCCGGAGAAGAAGCGCCGGCUAACUUCGUGCCAGCAGCCGCGGUAAUACUAAGUGGGCUAGCGUUGCUCGGAAUUACUGGGCGUACAGGGAGCGUAGGCGGAUAGUUUAGUCAGAGGUGAAAGCCCAGGGCUCAACCUUGGAAUUGGCUUGGGGACUGGCUAUCUUGAGUAUGGAAGAGGUAUGUGGAACUUCGAGUGUAGAGGUGAAAUUCGUAGAGAUUCGGAAGAACACCAGUGGCGAAGGCGACUCACUGGCCCGUUACUGACGCUGAGGCGCGAAAGCGUGGGGAGCAAACAGGAUUAGAAACCCCUGUAGUCC
rnacentral:rRNA from 1 species